AUUGAACGUUGGCGGCGUGGAUUAGGCAUGCAAGUCGAGCGAGAACCCGCAAGGGGGACAGCGGCAAACGGGGUAGUAAUGUGUCGGAACGUGCCCUCUGGUCGGGGAUAGCGGCGGGAAACUGCCGGUAAUACCCGAUGAACUCGAGGGAGCAAAGGUGUGAUUCCGCCGGAGGAGCGGCCGACAUGGUAUUAGCUAGUUGGUAGGGUAAUGGCCUACCAAGGCUUUGAUGCCUAGGGGGUGUGAGAGCAUGGCCCCCACCAUUGGGACUGAGACACUGCCCAGACACCUACGGGUGGCUGCAGUCGAGAAUCUUCGUCAAUGGGCGAAAGCCUGAACGAGCGACGCCGCGUGCGGGAUGAAGGCCCUUGGGUUGUAAACCGCUGUCGAGGGGGGUGAAGGCUUGAAGGUACUCCUUCAAGUUUGACAGAGCCCUGGAGGAAGCACGGGCUAAGUUCGUGCCAGCCGCCGCAGUAAUAC
rnacentral:rRNA from 1 species